CAAGACGUCAAAGUUGUUGUGAUGUGUUCCAAACUAUCAUAUCACAGCCAGCUUUGAUGAGCUUGA
rnacentral:pre_miRNA from 1 species